GCAAUGCUUAGCUGUUUGGAUGAACGCAUAGGUGGCUAAAUUAGGAGUAACAAAUUUCGACACUGUGUUGCAGAUCCCUGGCAUCGAAGUCAUCACGAGAAUGACCGGGCACCUUCGCGUAGCCCAGAUGGUAUUAUUCGCUGUGACUGCGUUCUCUCAAUCGGUUCGUGUCCAGUGAUGAAGCCGAAGUCUGUGCAACAACCCACAGAGUGUUUGGAGCCGUUGGCGUCAUGUGAUAUGGGAACGGUAGCGCAGCCGGACGCGUCCGAGGGAGUCAUUGCGGCUUGUUCGCAGCCAGACGCCACAUGGUACCGUAGCAACUACAACGGGAGCGGGAUGUAUGGGCGGGACGGAUACCAGUUCGAUUUAAUUGAAGACGAGGAAAGCGGUACGAAUGAAGUGGGUGUUGUAAUCGCUGUUUCGCGUUGCACUUUGAAACCCGGCCUCGACAACACUGCGGUCCCUAGAUACGAGGCGAGGGCGCGCUUAAGAACCCCAAGAGUUAACCGGGAAUCAGGUAGCCCGGUUAUAUUGUCUUUUUGGUAUCAGCUGCGUCGCCCCACACCUAUUGACCAACCGAUAGAGCCAAUCGAUCUCGAGGUGGACAUCGAAAUUUACUAUAAAGACGACUUGAAAAAAGGUGGCAACCGGAAUGAUUUUUGGAUUCCCUCAAUCGACGACGGUUAUCCAGACCCGGGCGGCUACAUCUCGGGAGGGGACCUUAUGCGCUUGCGUCCACUGUGGAAACUAUCAGAGCAGGAUCCUGUCGCCUUCUCCCCUGACGUUUGGCACUAUGUAGACGUGCCCGUCCUGCAGGCGGAUAUCGAUUCCAUAUUCUCCAGUGAAAGCGGGGAUUUAGAGGAUUUCCACGUUAUGUCUCCGCGAGUUAGUUUUUCGUUUUUGGCCGACCACAAUAACUGCGACUUCAGUGUGAGUCCCAUAAUGCUGGAUGCUAUCAGCGUCAAAGCAGUAAGAAAUUGCUCAGAAUCAACCACCAUGAUCACUACUGUAUCGACAACUACAACUGCAAGCACUGUUUCGACAGUUGAAACUAGCUCCCCCGUAACAUCUUCUACAACUAGCUCCUCUUCUACAACUGUAUCAGAGCCCACAACAACUUUGAGGAGCACCACGAUACCAACGGAAACCACCACAGAUUCGAAAACCUCCACGAUGGCCUCUCCUUCGCCCUUAUCUGCCACCGACGUUACCGUCUCAUCCAGCUCAAGGGUUUUCCCAAACGCAACUUCCGAAGUGACUACGGAAACGUUGCAUUACACUACAUCGUCAGAAUCACUCGCCACGACAUUGACCGAUCCACUGACUGCAGCGACUGUAUUGUCACAGCAACUAAGACUCCGGAGCCUUCAACAGUGAUCCCAAAAAUUCCCCCUACAAAAUCGCCAGUAUCUGUGGCACUGGAGAUGGCCAUGAGUAACAACACCUGUCCUAACGAGACAGCCUACUUUACCCAGUCGCCAUCCAAUGUACUCGCUGUCAUUCACAGUGCCGUUCAAAAUGACUCGUUAAGUCUUGGUUUUGACGAUAUUCUGCAAACGGCGCACUUCUUUGGAAAAUUUUCUGGAUCAGGCGUACCAGCAAAUUUGCCUGAAGGAGCAGAACAAGCUGCAGUUGAAACAUUGCUGCAGAUAACGGACCAGAUGGUCAUUGCGGAGAACACUGAAAAAUUGGCAUUACCUGCUAACAGUGAAGACGGUCCCAAUGCGGCAGCGAUCAUUUACCAAUCACUGGAGCAGAUGUACUACAAACUGCCAUCUAAAGCAGACCCAUACGUGUUUAAUAAUACUUUCUCUGUGGUUCAUGUCCAUGCUAUGCUGAUCGAUAGUUCUGCGCAGUUUGCCAACCUUAAUCGGAGCACGAAACUGGAAGUUAGUGCCUUCGAUAAGGCAAUGGGCGUUGUUACUAGCUCAAAUGACAGUUCUUCUUCGAUCGCAAGUAUUGCAUUCAGAGACGCAGCGCUUGAAGAGGCAUUCGAAAGUUCAAGACCAACCGCGAAAGCAUCUCCAGUUGUUUCGUCUUUUCCUGUCCGCGAUGCCGGCAUUCCAGUUCGCCAAAUUCAUCCCGACAAACGAACUCGAACGAAAGGACAAGCCCGAUUGUUUUGCUAGCUUCUAUGACUGGAAAUGUUAAACAGGGAGAUAUAAUCACCAUUCAGCACAACGUGGAUGUUCUGUUUGAUUAUCCAUCUGGAGCGAAAAGACAGCAUAAGUGUAUCUUUCUGAAUUACACUUCUCAACAAUGGUCAGGAGACGGGUGCCGUUUAACCGCUAAACAUCCGAAAUGGGACGGCACAACCGUGGAAUGCACAUGCAAUCAUUUGACGCCCUUCUCGCUUCUGCUGACAUUGUGUGGCAGCUUGUCCAAAUCCUUUAUUCUAAAGGAUAAACCACUCACUUUGGAUUUGGCUGUUGUAACCACCGCGACGACUUCGUGUUUCCACUGUCUGUUGCUUCUUAGCUUUGCUGAUAAUCAUGGUAAAGCUUUUUCGGAAACGAGUAAUUUUUGAUGAAGUGACAUGUACUCGGAUGGGUUUAUGGAUGGCGCUAUUCGGAAUGUAUCUGUUUACCAUUUUCUCGCAGCUGAUGGUGUUUGUUCCUGAAAUCUGCGGACAGAAGUUCUGCUUAGCUAGCGGUAUUUUAGUGCACUGGUUUGUUCUGAUGAGUGUGGGAUGGACUUUAGUCCAAACUGUCGGUGUCAUCCAGUUGAUACUUUAUCCGGAACAGUAUUGGAAAAGGAGACACCUUCCAGGAGACAGACGUCACGCGACUAAGCUGAAAACGUGGUUAGCCACUAGCCUUAUCCCUGGCGUGUUCCCUUUGCUCGCAUCGAUGCCACAUAUUUUUGAGAACAUCGGUAACAUAACAAGCUUCCUUGGUGGCUUCGGCUAUGCACAUCACGAAAAAUGGUGCUGGUUGAACGGCGAACAUUCGUGGAUUCCAAUCAUUCCAUGGGUGACCUUUAUUGCACCUCUAUCGACUGCAGGCCGUGCUGAAUAUAGCGACAGUCCUAGUGUACAUGGUCAGCGAGAUAACAAAGAAGAAGCGCAGAAAAAGGCUUUCGGUCUCCGAAGAACGUAAUGGGGAAUAUGCCGGUCUGGUUAAGCAGAGGGUUCACGGAGUGAUCAUCAACACCGGUUUGAUGGGAUUGAUCUGGUUGAGCGUGUGGUUAGCGCUCUUCUCCUGCUUUAUUGUUGAUCCGACGUGGAAUUAUGUCUUUGUUUUACUGUUGACUGUUGCUUGUGGAUCUCAGGCGAUCUACAUCAUCGUAUUCCAAGGAAUAAUUUCUGAUAAGAGUUCAAAGAAUCCUGUCAGCAAUUCCAACAGCAGCAACGAGCGCAGCGUUACUCCUAAUUAAUGCCGGGCCGCGCUACAUCGAAUAGAUCUGAGGAGGUCCAGUUGCGGUGUUUUCAAGUAAUUUUUUAAUUUUUGUUCACUUUAAUCGUUGACAAACUUGCAACAUCAAAAUGGUUGCCAGAAGCAGACGAACGAUACAGUGCGAAAGACAAACAAAUAAAAGCCAUGGCCAAUGAUUUAGUCAACCGAGACUAUUAUUGCGUGCCAUGACAUUUUCUCGCUCCCUACAUCGGUCCCUUGCCGAGCAGCCAAUCCGCA